rfam:Myotis brandtii contig258764, whole genome shotgun sequence.
GGCGGUUCUCAGGUGACGCACCUAGGACCAGGCUCCCUCCUCUCUGGUUCCGGGCGCAUCACCAGAGAACUGCA